UAAUGCUUGGGAAUCUAGCUUAUGGAGGGGGAUAACUACGGGAAGCUGUAGCUAAUACCGCGUAGAAUCGAGAGAUGAAAGUGUGGGACCUUCGGGCCACAUGCCAUAGGAUGAGCCCAAGUGGGAUUAGGUAGUUGGUGAGGUAAAGGCUCACCAAGCCGACGAUCUCUAGCUGGUCUGAGAGGAUGACCAGCCACACUGGGACUGAGACACGGCCCAG
rnacentral:rRNA from 1 species